CAAGGUCAAAUUAAAUUUUUGCGAAGAACCCUAAUUUAUGUACAUUUUUAGGGCUCAAAGAGCCGAGCAAUCGGUGUUGGCGAAUCCGAGCCGCGGGUGCUGGACAUCGUAGAGGAAAUGGAUGUUUUGCUGCUGGAAAUUCCCGAUGAUCGACAUGCCAUCCGUGGGAAGAAUCGCGAGGCAGUGCUUGGCUUCUUGCGAAUCCGGCUGGAUGAAAUAGUUCUCCUGCGGAAGAUCCAGCUCGGCUCCGUUUUGGAAGACGAUGCCGAGGGCAGGGAAUGGCACGGCGGUCCUCCCAGUGGCAUUGUAGCAAAUCCCCAGGAUGUCGAAGGGAUCGGCCCUAGGGUAUGAGAUCCUCGCCAGGAACGCGCUCUCCACCGCUCGCUACGCGUCGCGAUUGAGGUACGUGAGAGUGGUUCCCGAAUCGAUGAUCGUCCCGCCGCUUCCAUUGGCAGCAAUCGCGAAUCUCUCGGCCGGGAUGGGGAGAAGCUCCUGGUCGAUCUUGAUCCCCUGGAUUCCAAGGUAGUAGAAGGUCUCCACGGAGUUGUUCGUCCUCACGAAUGGCGUGAAUCUCAUCUGGUGGUGUAGAGGUUUACAAAGGCGGAAGCGAUUCGAGAGUGGACAAGCUUGGCUUGUGAGAGUGUCUUGCACGAGGCGAUAAGGCUCAGGCACUCGCGUCUGUCCAGCCUCGUUUCCAAACUAACCAUCAAUGCUUUGUCAAUCAAAUGUGAUGUUGAGAAUUAAUCAUGCCGCUAAUGUCAAGUCUCUUUGGCCAAAAAAAAAUUCUCACAUUUUCUACCGUGGAUUCCUUAUUCACGUUGCUAAUGGGCAUUUGGUCUAGUGGUAUGAUUCUCGCUUAGGGUGCGAGGGGUCCCGAGUUCACUUCUCGGAAUGCCCCCAGUUCUGUGCUUCCAUCAUAAAUCCUAGUGACCCUUGCGGUCCAGGCACAAUUCCAGGACCUCCAAAUCAGAAAUAUGCACCCCCUUUGCUCCACUUUUCAUCCCAAUUGCUAUCGUAAGGUUUUCUCAGAGUCUGGAUACGCUUGAAAAUGAGAUUAUAGUAGCCUAAAGUUUUGCAGCCAUCAACCUGCCAUAACAAUGCUUUUCUAAAGUUUUGACCAUAUGAGUUACCUUCCAGUAGACAAAGAGUCGAGGUCCUGUUCCUCCAUAGAAUUCAGGAUAAAUCUUCAAGAAAGGUUCAGUAAAAGAGAAGUGUGUACAUAUCUUUCAAUUGUGUUCAACGGGCUUGAUUUGUUCGAAAUGAUCCACAAUUGUGCUAAACUGAACUUCGAAGUUUUUUCCGCGUAUAGCUCCCAGACAUUUAUACUUGUUUCCAAAAAACUCAUUGUAUCUGUGAUAAAUUGUCAGCUCUUGAAUGUUUGUUACCUCGUGUGUUUCUCUUGUACAAUCCUUGUGUGGUAUAUGGUUCUAGCGCUGACAGCCUCAUAGAUCCUUCUUCACCAUCUCAGCAAAGAUUUGCCCUGCCUGUGUGUCGAAAGAGUCACUCUCAGCAAAGGUUUGCCCUCGGAGGAGUCACUCGUGCGAAUGACACACUAGGAUCUGGAACAGUUGGGACAAGAUCUUGAACUCUUUUAAAAAAUUUAAGAUAAAGAUAAAACUUUAAGAAUUGAACUAACUUAGGGGGUGCCUUUUCCUUCAGCCAAAAGGUCCAAAUCAGUAUAUAAUUAGGGUUACAUUGAAUAACCCUUAAGGAAAAUUACAAAAUGAAUUGUAGUUAUUGUCAUUCUUCAGACUUGUUCUUACAAGGUUCAAACACUGGUGGGAAAUAUCAAGAGUAUUGUAAACAUUGCAACAAGCUAUGCUGGAAAGGUGGCCAGAAGAAAGUUGAGGAGCAACAUAGCUCGUUUAAGUUGGUCUUGCAAGACUUGAAUAAAUGUCCUCCAGUGACAAAGAAAUCCUUGGUUUUGUUCUAAGAUGGCCAAGUGAUCACUUUGGCGCAAAAUCCUUUAGAGAUUUCUUGAGCAAUUUGUACAAACGUCAAAGUUCCCCAUCAGGAAGCUCAAAGAAACAAAAUAUUCCAUUCUUUUGCUUAUGCAAUGAAACAUAAGGUCCCCAUUCCAUUUCCAUUUACUCAUUCCACUUAAAAACAAUAAAAAUAUAGUAAAUCAAGCGGGUUUUCAAUUGUCAUUCUGUUUUGAUUGUCGUAGGAUCAAGUUGACGUUGUCAACGAUUCCUUUAGUUGGCUUAGCAAAGAAAAACCCCGUUUGGAGAAACGCAUAGGCCAAAGCAGUUGCAAAAUAGAAGUUGGCAUACCGAUGGGUCGACAACCGUCAUCAAAAUAAAAGAAAGGAAAAUCGGUCGGUGAUAGAAGUAUAUAGAUAGUGGUGCUAUCAGGCAAAAUAUGUUGCCAUGAAACACCGACCUCAGAUUUCUUGGCGCAAUUUUAACAACACUCCACGUUAACUUCUUUUGGCCAAAGUUGAUGGAUGGACCUCAGAAACGUUCCGUAUAGACUGGUUUGAUAGCUUGAAUGCUUGAGGUAAUCACCUGCACGGAACGUUUCUGGGGUUCCACAGUCAGAAAUCCGAGGUCGCAAGAAGACCCAUGCUGGGAAAGAUUGACGAUAGAGCAGUUUUGUCUUCUUUGAUUUCCAAGUACACAAGUUACGAAGAAGAUAUUGCGACCCUCAUCGAUCUGCAAAUCAAAGAGUUUCUCCCUUCAUUAUUUUCGUCAUCUUCGAAGAAUGUCAGAAACAGAAGCAUUGCUGCGGAUGGUAUGCUUCUUACAUUCUUACGCAGCAGCAGAUCUCAAUGAGGAGAUGAGAGAUUUUCUCUGAGACGUGACUCCUCCGUUUUUCACAAAUCAUACGGUUUGUUUCCUUUUUUUCAAACCCUUGUGAACACAUAGAUUCCGAAUUGCAGUUAUCAAAUGGAGACAUCAUCCUCUGCGUCCCAAUUAAAAAUCAACUGUCUGUAAGAAACCAGACACUGCAGCUUCUGGUAAGUUGUGCAGCAUUCCUCGUUUAGCCCCUCAAAUGAUGAACAAAAAAGAGCACAAUCGAUCAGAAAAUUCCGGUCAGCUGUUUGGUCUAGAAGUUGGAUCGUGCAAGAAAAACACAAUCCCGGUGUUGCAAACUUCGAAUACCAUAGCCGCAAGAUUUGGUUCUGUGAGGAAGCUAAUCAUAAAACAUUCCUAUGGAAAAAAUCGAGUGCCAUUGGCUGAUGAAGAACCUGAUCUGAGCAAAACUCUCAAGAGUUGACGAUACUUUGCAUGAUCUGCAACGAGUUGAACGGCAACUUUAAAGAGAUGGAAACAACUAGAAAUGAUUGGGAGCCAUAUGUGGAACAAACUUCCGAGUUCAGUCUAGCGCAGUUGUGGAUCACCUCAAACAAAUUAGGCCCAGUGAACAAAAUUGAAGCAGGAUGGCAGGUAUGUGGAAAUUCAAGUGUUUCUAUACUGAACCUUGAGGAAGUGGGCCUCGACUCUUUGUCUACUGGACAGUAAAUCAGAUUGGUAAUAAAACAUUUUAUAAGAAUUGUCAACAUUUGGCAGGCCGAUGGCUACAUAAAUACUGGAUGCUAUAACCUGUACAGACUCUAGACCUGGAAAACACGUAAGGUUAUCUCAUAUAUUGUGUAGAGUCUGGAGUGGAUACGCUCGAAAAUGUUCCUCCUAGUAUGUAUUUGUUGCUUAAGCCUUGGCUGAAUUUUUCAGGACGAUGGCUCAAAGAAUUGGUGGUUACAAAAUUGACGGGUAAAUCUAUUCUAAUUUCUACAGAAUGACACUUUGGAAGUUACUAUGAUAAAGAAAACGGAGCAAGACACACAAAGACUGAUAUGGGAAGUGGAGAAUUUCCAUCCCAGGGAUAUGGUAAUUUGCAUACCAGAGAAGAAUACAGUACCUGGAUUCUAGUGGUGCGAUGCAGCCAACAAUUGGGAUGAAAAGAGAAGCUGAAACACCUAAAUUGCUAUACUGCUACUAGUGUCUCGGCUAUGAAUGGGGCAUAUUUCUUCUUUGGAGGCCCUGGCAGUGCCUGUAAAAUGCAAAGGUGUAUUUGCUAACAAUCCAAAAAAUUCUGAUAAAUUCAAUGGGGUGAUGCUUGGGGAUUUUCGCGUAGAUCUUCCCGUAUCUGCGAAGUCGAGAAAUUAUAUAUUGCAACAAUCACCACAGCAUUCCAAAUACGAAGCUUACCCCACGGCAGUACCCUCCAGUUUCUCAAUGGCCUCCUCGAUCCGCUUUGCCACUGCCUCACGCUUCUCUGGCAAAGCAGCUACGAACUCUUCGACAAUGAUUUCGAUACUCGCCACUUUGCCGGCCUGUAAUAUUGUGAGCUGCAUGCAAGCAACGAAAGUAGAGCGUACCUUCUCUGUAAGAUGGCCUUUUGUGUCACGGUAAGUACCACAUUUUUCGUUCAGGAACUCCACGAGUUCCUCUAGUGAACGCCCAUCACAAUCCUCUCCAUCUUUGUUGGAUUUCAGGAAGAACUUUACUGUGGGAUAGCCACUAAUAUCAUAUCUGAAAGAUAGGCAGAGGUUACAAUCAACUAUACAUAAGACACUGAAAAAGCUUACUUGGACGCCAGAUCCUUGUGAGCAUCUGCAUCUAGCUUCGCUAUGACCACACCCUUCUCACCUUUGAACGCGGUUGCAACCUCCUCAUAAACCUUCCAGAACAAAAUCAAUGUUUUAGUAUCACUGAUAGCAUGCAUCAGACUGACUUACCGGAGCCAUGUGAGCGGUUAUCCAAGUGGUUUCCGAGGGGGAUUGGCAUAGGGACUUGUGUUCAUCACAAUCCACCUGCCGAACUAAACUAUGAGCACAGAGGUACUGAAGUUUUCAUAAAAAGGUUACCUUGCUUAUCACUACGUUCUUCACUUUCUUGAAAGCCGAUCCGACCUUCUCGUACUCAGGAGCUAGCUUCUUACAGUGCCCGCACCUGGAAUUUCAGAGACCAGAUUAAAAUCGCCUCCAGAAGACUAGAUCCAGCUGCAAUGCAAUGCUUGGUUACCAGGGAGCGUAGAACUCAACAAGAGCUCCUCGACCCUGCCGUACUACUUGCUCAAAAUUGUCAGGUGUAAGCACAACGACAUCAGAUUCUGCAGCAAAAGCUCCAAAAACGCCAGCAGCAAAACCGCCAACAUUCUCUCCAUUUUCGCAGAUCGUAGGAUGAGAUCCAGCCGUCAAGAAGCCCGCAUCCGGUUGUCCCCAAUCCCAAAUGGCAUACACUGGUUGGAUGUUAGGACGUAACAACUCUGAUCCGUGCUAAUUGUCAGCCGUUCGAUUGAAAGAUAGAAAUGUUCAAGGAUAAGUACGGAUAUUCUUGUUUGAACUUGUGGGAAUUCAAUACAGAUCCUUCUUGUUGUGGUUUUUCGCUUGUGCAUUUACGAACUUCCUCAGGCCUCUGCUAGUUGGAGUUCCGGAAUAACUAAACAACGCAACCAUGGUAACCUCAGAGCUACUUGAAAAUCGACCAGCAGGAACUUACAUUUUGGCAGUCAUUGAUCCUUUCGGGAACCACUCGAUUGUUGGGUAGUUGCUGAUGUUACAAUACCCACACACUAAAGGAUGGUAUUCGCAAUUCACCUGUGAAUCGGAAUGAGCCAUCACAAAGAACUCGACACUGCGGUUCUUACAUGGGCUAUCAGCACGGUCUUCUUGACUUUCCUGAAUGCCAAACCAACCUUCUCAUAUUCAGGUUCAAGCUUCUUACAAGCUCCACAACUGCGCAACUAAGUCGGAACAAAGCAAUCGAUCAGGUUGUGACAAUUGAAUGGGGGAGCUACCUGUUAAUGAAGAACUCGACAAGAGCUCCUCGAUCCUGCCCUACCAGUUUUAUAAAGUUCUCGGGCGUGAGAUUUACGACGUGAUCCGCAGCAAGAGCUGGCAUCACUGAAAGCACCAAGAGCAGACCAGCCAGCAUUCUUACCAUCUUGCUCACCCUAUCAGUCGCGAUUGAGUGAAACUGAAAGAGCCACUUUUGACAUACCAUGGCACGCCUUCUGUUUAUUGAAUCUUAGCCGUCCAAUGUGCUUGUACAAAGCUGCUAAUGCUGCUAUAAAGUAAGUGUUUUGAAAUGUAUUUUCUAAUGUGGAGAAUACAAAGGACUUAUCCAGAAAUCCAUAAAUCGUUCCAAUGCUGAGAGAUGAUGUUAGGAGUCUUCCAAUGCUAGAGGAUCUCGGUAAUGCUGCAAUAAAUUACACAGUACAAUGUAGUAUGCUGCAAAUCUAUGUGACAAGGUGUUAUCUCAAAUCGACUUGAAAAUUAAUUUUCGGAUCCAGAUAUACGUGACUGCACUUGUCGCUGGUGCCUUCAUGACGCUUAGGACAUUGUUGGAUAACAUUCAUUCUGCCAGGAUCUGUUAAACGGAAAAUUCUGAAAUUCCUGUGGAGCGUCCACGUUCAGACGCGGGAAAAGAUACAAACAGGAGACGGAGUAUACCUGGAAGGAUCUUGAGGUGCCAUUACAAUUGCAAUAGCUUCUUGCAACAUCACCUGUCGAGGUGGUUUAACAACUUUUAAAGCCAAAAUGGACGGCCUAGUUACAUCAUACUGUUUCCUUGGGACGCAUUUGAGACUUGGAGCCAUGCUGCUGUUCAUAGUCACUAGCAUUAUCUCUUACACGCUUAGUUGAGGGUCCGAUUCUGCUUUCCGGGGAAGUUGGGUGGCCAGUCGCUGCAGCCCGCUCAAUGUUACCAUUAACAUCUCGGGCUCUAUCUCUAUCAUUACGCUCAACUUUGAAUCGUGGCCAACAAGUCUGCACAUAAUUGUCCACUGGGGUUUGGUGCUCUGCUCUGAUAUCAUUUUCGAUGAAUACUCAGACAUAUCCAGAAAGCUGCUUGAGCCUGCCCGAUGCACUGUAUCCAAAAUACUACUAUGCAAACGGAGGUCCCUGGCAUAGAGCUGCGCCAGCAAACUCCGCGGACAGAGAUUUGUGCCAGGAUAGUUUUCGACCUCCAGCUAUGAGCUACAGGUAAACUUCGCAGUGAAGGCUGCAGUCCCAAGUGUUGGUGUAUCCAGAUGUGCUCUUGGUAAAGGCUCAAUCAAAUACUAUGGCCUAAUGAGCGUCUCCACAAUGCUUUUACCCUCGCAAGCUUUGAUUCCGUGUAGAAUGUCAGCCUUAACUUCAGCCGCCACUGCAAUAGUAGCUUUUUUCAUAAGCUCACAAUAGGUCAUGAACAAAAGCUGAGACUUGGUAGCCUUCUUAAAACCAUGCUGUUUUCAAAGUUUGAGAAAGGCUAAGAAACAAAUUCUAGGCUGCCGAAAAUAAAAAAAGCUUUGAUUCUAGGUAGAAUGUCAGCCUUAGCUUCAGCCGCCACUGCAAUAGCAGUUUUUUUCAUAAGCUUACAAUAGGCCAUGAACAAAAGUUGAAACUUGGUAGCCUCCUUAAAACUGUGCUGUUUUCAAAGUUUGAGGAAGGUUAAGAAAUGGAUUUUAAAAGUCAAAAAAUAACUUAACUAAGUUUUGCAUAAUGUUUCAAAUCAACUGGCUGAACCACAACACGUGGACAAACCUUAUGAAACUUAAAGGCUUGAUUCCAUUCCACAACUUAUUAGUGUCAAACAUUUUCACAAAAUAUUUAAUAUUUUUUAUGUAAAACAUGAUUAAAAGGUUGCACAAUUUUUUUGGUUUGCUUAAGCAAACUUAUAGGGGGACUAGGAUGGUAUUGAAUAUACCUAGAAUAUACUUGGAUAUUCUAGGAUAUUCUACCAUCUAACGGUUGUUAUUCAUUUAGAUUAAUUUUGUAUUUAUAAUUUAUAAACAUGUUUAUAAUUUAUAAACUUUCUUAAACCUUUUCUAGUAUAUUCUUUUUAAUUCUACCAUCUAAUGGUUGAUAUGCAAUAAAAUUAAUCUUGUAUAUAUGAAUUACAAACAUGCUUAUAAUUAUAAACUUUAUUUGAUCAAUUAGAUUAAUAAGUAAUAAUAACACUAGUAUUAAGCAAACCAAGCGUUGCUACAUGCAACACGUAGCAAUUUAUUUAUCAAACAUUCAAAAUAUGACAGAUUGUUACCUCUUAUGAAAGGUGCUCCUUGACUAGUUUCUCACCAUUAAGUGCCAGCUUUCAGUACAACUCCACUUUUUCCUUAACUUCCCCUGAAAUCCUAUGUGAUCAACAGAUGCAAAAGCUGCCACCAAGUCUGCAUCAAAAUAGGUGCCAUAUGCGCCUGGCUUUGCAGCCUCCAUAAACAGUGAUCAACUUUGCUAGGCGGGAUAAAAGAAAGAUAUAGGUCCUUCAAUUCAGAAACCAUGACCAUCCAAUACCUCUUCACUUCUACAUUAAGCUUAGUGAUUCUCAUUUAUAACCAUGCCAUUGUACAAAUCCUAAGUGCCAAGCUCUUCCACUUCCAGCAUUUCCUCAUCAUCAAUAUUCAAAUCUGCUGGUGUAUCUUCCUCAUACCCCUGGUUGGUGAGUGUUUUACAAAGUGACACUGGUAGUCACAAUAAGCAACCCACGCGCAUACUUUGGGUUUGUCUUUGAUCCUGGUCCAAAAGCUCUUUAACAUACUAUCCAGCAAUGAUUCAUAAGUUUUUUUUGGUGCAUGACAACUCAUUAAAUUUCAAACCAUACAUUACAGUCCAGAGUACGCAUAUAGUUAUAGUUAAUUGUAUCCGUCAUGAAGACAUCCCUGAACUCGAUGCUUGUUCUCAACCAGCUCUCAUAUCUUGUAGUAGCGAAUGUCCAUAUGCUUGCUCCUGGCAUGGUAACGAUCUUCCUUGGUCAGAGCCAGUGCACUCUGAUUAUCUAAAUAGAGGAGGAGUGGACCAUCCCCCUCACACAGCAGAUCCUUGGAUAGGUGUUGCAACCAAAGGGCUUCUUUAGCAGCUUCAAAUAGUGAUGAAUUCAGCCUCUGUGGAAGACAUUGCCUACGACUAGACCAACUAACUGAAGCACCAUAGAGCAUGAAUGCAUAGCCAGUAGUGGAUUGUCGGGUGUCCAAAUCACCACCAUAAUCUGCAUUGCAAAAGCCAAGCACUGUAGAAUUUGCAGAAGCCUUGUACCUUAGAGCAAAGUCAUGUGUGCCUUGAAGAUAGCACAAGAUGCGCUUCAUCCAAUGCUUGGGGCCAGGAUUUUCUAAAAACAUGAGCUAUAUCAGGCCUUGUAGCAACGGCCAAAUAAACCAGGCUCCCGAUAGCUUGCUGAUAAGGCACACCACUCAUUGCUUCACGAUCACUUGUGGAUGAUGGAGAGGAAACAACAAAGAGCUUGGUGCCUAGCUCAAUAGGUGUUGGCACAUAUUUGCAAUCAGUCAGAUUGAACUGGCUGAGCACUUCUCUCACAUAGUGUGCAUGUGAAAGUGAAAUUGUGCUUACUUGACGAUCACAAAAUACUUGAAUACUGAGGUAGAAGUGAACUUCACCCAAAUCAAUCAUCUCAAACUCAGCAAAGAGCUUGGACUUGAGAGUGAGCAGCAUAGCUAGAGCAUUAGCAGCCAUUAUGCAAUUGUCAACAUAAAGUGCGACAAUCACAAACAGCUUGGCCACUAAAUAGGGGUGCACAUUUCCAUCAGCAGCACCUUUCGUGUAGCCAAGGGAGCAGAAGAAAGUAUCAAUCCGCUUAUACCAAGCUUAAAGACUCUGUUUUAAGCCAUAGAGGGUACACUUUAGUUUGCAAACUUGAUGUUCCGUACCUAGCUCCACAAAGCCAAUGUAGAUGUCCUCCUCAAGUUUGUUGUUCAAAAAGGCUGUUUGCACAUCCAUUUGGUGAAGUUUGAGGUUCCAAGCAGCUAUAAGCGUCAUGAUCAUGCAAAUAAAAGCUAGCUUCAUAACUAAAGAGUAAGUCUCUAUGAAAUCCAAUCUAGCCACCUGAGUGAAACCUUGUGCCACUUAACAUGCCUUGAAUUCCUUCAUGCUCAAAUAUUAAUUGUAAAAAACUGAGAACACCCAAUAGGUGUCAAUCAAAUGACCAUCAGUUGGCAGCUCUGUUUUGAUAAAGGUGCCCUUCUUCUCAUGAGAUUGCAUCUUAUUUUGCAUAGCAGCUAGCCACUUGUCUACAUAAGGGCCAAAAAGUGCUUGCCAUGCAUUAUGAAGAAUUGAAAUUGGUUCAACUACAAUAGUGUGAGCAACAAAGCCCACAAAAUGAGUUUGGUUGGUUUUAUGUCACCUUCAAUUAAAGAAGUCAAAAGACUCCAAAGCUUCUAAAGCAUGUUGCAUUUGUUCUGAUGAUUCUUUUUCUAGUGGUUAUUAAUUCUUCUUGAUGUUUUAGAAGAUCUUCUUUAUAAUUAGAUAAAAGAUUAUUACUGAUAAAUCUAAUAUCAUCAUCCUGCUGUGACACAAUAGUAGUCACAUCUUGUUCCCCCUUACAUUCAAUUUUUGAUGAAUCUACUAAAUCAGCCAUAGUAAAACUUCUCUGAUUGUGAAAAACUUAGGCAAAGAGAGACUUUUUUGAUGAACACAGCUAAUAAACUUAUAAGAUCACAAAUUUUAAUAAUAUCUGUAAUAAAAAUUAUAAACUGUAUAUGAUACUUUUAACCUUAUGACAUACAGAAACAUGACAUAUAAAAAAUAAGUUUCUAGAUUCUAGUAUAUCAUGAAAUUAAUUUGGAUUAGACGAAGUCUAACAUUAAGGAAUUCAAACUAGAAUAUACCCAACAAAUGCUUACUAGUUGACAAAGCCAUUUAUUCAACACCUGUUAGAUCUCCUCUCCUUCCACUCUAGUGGUGCUUGUUAGAAAAAAUUGAUGUCCACUAAUAGAUAUUUAUAUAAUAUAUUCACAAUCUUGACUUAUAUUAGUUUUUUAUAGUUUCUUUAGAAUGUGUCAAGCUCUACUGAUGACAAAUCCAGAAAGUUGAGAGCUCAGAUUGUUCUUGUUCUUUCUAUCUCAAAAUCCACCUUUCGAAAAACAAAAAUGUUGAAAUAAAACAUUCAAUGAUUUUACCAAAGAAAAGUCUACUAUACUUGCUCUAGUUCUCCUAUAAGACCCUAUGCCAGAAUAAAUGUUGUUUAAAACAAUUAAGAAAUAAAAAGGACUUCUCAUCAGACAUUUAUGAGCACAUCAUGUAUUUUAGCAUCGCUUCUCCAUUUGAAAGAAAGUAAUUCACUUGCUUGCAUCCUUGUACCUGUUCCCCAAUGAUUCUCUAACCAAUUCACACAAAACUAGAAGCUGAAACACCCUUAGUUGUGUUAGCUUCUCUCCACCAAGGUUUGCUAAUCUACUAAUCUCCCCUUGAUUUUUAUCACAUGACCUGCUCACAUUCCCCUAGCAAUGCUACUUUAACCCAAACCAAAGGGUUGAAUAAGGAGUGCACACUUCUGUCUUCUCUUGCCUCAUCCAAUAGCAAACAAAGGUGUGUUGCCAUGCUAUUGGAUGCCAAUACGUCAUCCUGAUUUUUUUUCAAACCAUAGCACCUAAAAAUUGCUUAGCAAAUAAUGAUUAGUUGACAAAGCCUUGGGGUCCCAAAGAUGAAUAUGUUUCUAAGAGCUAACCUCACCAACUUAGAAAUCUAUAGUAUCAUAAAUUUCGUGCACCAUAAAUGGGAACUCAAACCUUUUUAUCACAUCCUUUGAGACUGAAAGAUUAAUUACUUUCAAAAAUACUCUUACAAAAUCCAUGUCUGAAAGAUAAAACAUGUUAACACAAAAACUUGUUAGGACAAAGUUUACAAUGCCUCCACUUUUACUUCAUGAAGUUGAAGUUCUUGGACAAUGCAUAGUUCAAACAAAAAAUGAUUAAGUUAAAGUAAAUUAUAAAUGAAGUGAAUUUUUAACACAAACUUUCGCUUUCCCUUCCAUUCUAGGUUGAGCUUAACUAUCAUUGAGAACAUCAUUUAAACCUAGAGAUGCAAUAACAAUUGUGAUUGUUGGGAAGAGAGAAUAGAUAUAAACAGAGUCUAUGCUUUAAAUCAGAGAAAAUUAUCAAAGGCCUUCAAAUUUUUUAUAUUUAACUUAAUUGUAAAUAAUUUUUUCUGCAUUGAAAACAGUAGUGCUUAUUAUUUAUUAAUCUAAAUGAUUAAUUAAUUAUAAUUAAUAAUAAUUUAUUAAUUAAUUUAUAAGCACAAGAUUAAUCUUCUUAUAUAUCAACUAUUACAUGGUAGAAUAAACUAAAAUACACUAAGAAGUGUUUAAUAAAUUAUAAACAUAUUUAUAAAUUAUAAAUACAAGAUUACAUGAGGACUAUUUAUGGUCUGUUAUAUGACCAUCCACAGCCAUGUGCUGAGUUUUGUGACCAAAAUCUAGAAUUUCUUAAAUUCAUUAGCUUGUUCAGAAUUUAGUAGCAAAAACACCAUAACUCAUUUGGAUGGGAUAAGAGUUUUAGCAGAGAAUAAAAGCCAAACUCUCUUCUUAAAGUGAUCCAUUAGAUUGGUAAAAUAUCCCAGAAUAUACAAGUAUAUUUUAGAUAUAUUCUAAAACCUUUUACAAGCUUGCUUAAUCAAACCAAAAGGCCCCAAUUUUGUAUAAAAGCCCUGUGAAGUUUUAGAUAAGCCCCCUAUAUUAUAUUUAUAACUAGAAAUCGAUAGAAAAGUUAUAAGUAACUUCAAACUAAUCAUCAAUACUUUUUGGAGCUACAUUUGAUUUAUCCUCCACUUAUUACUUCAAGCAAUGUUAAUCAUUAAUGCAUCCUUGUUUCCCAAAUAUUUCAUCUCACCAUAUGAAUGCUAAACCAUCUCAAACCUAUUGUGGGCUUGGAGAUUGUUAAUUGUUCACGAAUAAAGCUCCUUUCAAAGUAACAUAUAGAACCAAGUGAACAAAGGUGUGUUCCAUUCUCUUACAGCAACAACAUCUGGAAAUGUCUUGGGACCAAACAUCUACUCCUGAAAUGUGUUCAGACUAGUGUCGUGAGCUGUAAGAAAACUGUGGAUUAAACCUAAAUUUAAUCUUCAAGUAAACUACACUCUCGGAAAUGCACUGUCAAUUCUAGGGUUACCAAGGAGUACUGAGGCAUAGAUUGGAGUGAGGAUGUAAGUUUCAAUGUUUAGCUUGACUUUUCUGUUUUGUGUUCCAGCUUAGUCCCAAGGCUAAUAGGAGCUGCAAGACUCCAUGGCCAAGUGGACAGGACAUAAUAAUCAUGGACAGGACAUUGGGUGAGGAAAGAUCCAGCGAAAUGUCAAGUGGAGCCAUUCGCACUUGCUCUUUAUUCUUGAAAUGUGUUAAAUUUAAGUGAUGAAUACAUUCGCACUAUGUUUUAAAAUAAAGUAAAUUACUUUACAUUAAAAUUUAGGAUAUUUUUUUUAAACAUUUUGAUUCGCACAUAGUGUUAACUUUAACACAAUGUUUUCACUUUUUAAAACAUUCAGACUGAUUUUAAAAGAUGGGUGGGGGGGGGGGGGUUCUUUUAAACUUAAAAUAUUUUUAAAAGGAAUCUCUAUGAUUCCUUGAAGAUUCCAGUGCCCUGAUUAGGGCAUUUCAGUUUUUUGCCGCAAGCUGCCAUGAGGUUAGGCAUUUUAUGGUGGGGGAGCCAACAGCAAUCAUUGCCCUAGGGUUAGAUCAUGUUGGGGAUUUGGUGGAGGAAGGAGGAGUAGCUGAUUUUGGGGAAGGAGGAGCUGUAGGCUUUGACGAGGAGAUGGUGUGGGUUUGGGGCAGUGGCAUCUAGUGAAGAGCAACUGUGGUGGAGGAGCAUUUGGGGCUGGAAGACGAGCACUAGGUCCAGCUGUCGCUCGAGGAGGUAGGCUGCCUUGGGGCUAAGGCCGUGGAGAUGCCGAUUUCUUGAAUCUUGGACAUAUUCAAAUGCUCUUUUGAAGACAUUUUAAAGUAAGUCAGGUGUGAAGUCACUAGUGUUUUACGUUAAAUUUUUACCACAAAAACUUUUGCAGGUGGGACUUAAAUCUUAAAACAACCUAAAAAUUACUAAUGCAACAAUCACAAAAAUCAAAAUACACAUUUUAAAAUAUUUUUAUAUAAAGCGCAAGUGUGAAUGGAGCCAUUCGCACUUGCGAAUGGCUCCAAAUCAUAAAUCAUCCAAAUGGCUCCAAAUCACAAAUCAUAAUAGUUUAUGAUUUGUUUUAAAUUCCAAGCCUAGCUUUGUUAACCACCCAACAUUCUGCUCUAGUUAUGCAAUACUAGUCAUAAAAUAUUUUCUGUUCUGCCAGACCAGGUGAGAAUCAAUGGUCCACGAGGAAGGAGUUAAGAAUCAAUGGCCCUGAGUGACGAUUGAAUGAGGGCUUUUAUUUCAUUUCCAUGCAUUCCCCGCCCUCUCUACUGUAAGUAGGGUUUUCAUCGUUGCCUGCGCGAUGUGCCAGAGAGUGAAAGCGCCCCGCGGCCCUUCAAUGGCACUGCGAUUGCUCCACCACUGCAAAGCUGUGGCGCCUUGUUGGCGCUGGCGGAGGACGCGGCCAAAGAGCUUCAAUGUGGCGCAGAGGCAUUGUGGUCGGAUCCAGGUGCGCCCUAGCCUCGUGGAUUUUGGAGUCGAAUGCAAGCAAUUCAUCUCGUGUUUGUGGCAUUGACAGGCAAGGACUGGUGCUCUUGAGAUUAAAUUGAGGAGCUCUUGCUUUUUCGCCUUUGCAGAUCUCUGGUUGGAAGUUGGGACCGAGAAAAGGCUGGCUGGUUGGUGAGAAAGGAAAAUCUUUUGGAAGGCUGCAUUGGCAUCUCUUCUCCUGGUAGGUUGUACGUUGGUUGUGUGCUUUGAUUCUAGGAAACAUAGCUAGGAGGUGUUGUGGUGUUUCUUACUCUCCGAUUGAGCUGAGUUUUUUUUUCUCUCUCGUGUUCUCGCAACACGAAACGAUGCAGGACGGUGAGAGUCGACGAGUACCGCUAGAGAAGGAUGCGAAGCUGCGGUAUGAGUUCGUAGAGCUGAGGCUUGACAGCUCGAGAGAAACUUAUUGGGGAAGAUGUUCAAUUGCACUAGGAGGGCGUCCAAGAAGGUCAAGGAGAAAGUGGACUUUAGUAUCCAUUUUCACGCGACGCAGGUAAGUCUUUUGUUUCCGCUCUUCGUGAAUUUCUCAUGUCUAUUGUAGAUUCAUACGGCAUGGGAUAAGCUGGCUGUGUCCCUUGUCUCCUUGGAUUCUGGAAAAGUGACUGGGAAAACUCGCAAAGCUUCUGUUCGAAAUGGUCAGUGUCAUUGGCCAGAUGCAGUUUUGGAAACUGCCAAGCUUAUACUGGACAUGAAGACGCAUAUGUAUGACGAGAAACUAUACAAGUUCGUCGUGGCCAAGGUAAUUCCUUUGCUUUUCUUAGACGUUCUCACUGGUACUUGAUGUUGCAGGGGUUUUCUCGCUCUUGUGUUCUGGGAGAAGUCAUUAUCAAUAUAACCGAGUAUGUCACCGCCGCUUCCCCAACGUCAGUAACUUUACCCUUGCGGUUCUGCUAUGCAGGCACUCUUUUACAUGUAAGUUGCUAGAUCCCGCAAAAGAACUCUUCUCACGAAGGGCGCUUGUUGGCUGCAGAUUAAAAUACAGUGCUUGACUCCUAAAUCCAUAAAUAAGCCGCUUUCAUGGAUUCACUCUGGACAUGUUUCCGAUACCGAAACAGAAAUGUAUUCUGCAUGUGGAACGUCGUUACCAUGCACAAACAGCCCCGCUCAUUAUCUUUGUCGGACGGUACGCAACGCUUCUUUUCUUUAGUACUUUGAAGAUCUUAAGUUGUGUUGUUUCCUUAAAAAUCUGCAGUUCAGUGUGGGAACCCAGUCACCAGUGGCCUCCAGUGCAACGGGCGAGUGCAGCCGCGUACUACCGUCAUCUCCCACUCAAAAUGCAGAGAAGAAGUCAGGGAUGAUAGCCAUUUCGUAUAUCUCUCUGUCUUCUCCUGCAAGGGCUGUCACCCCGCCGCCACGGGAUAGAGAUCAUCCGACACGCAAGGAUUCCGGGAGGGAACUAGAAAACUGGAAAAACAUAGCGGAGGCGUUGAAGAAGGAUUUAGCGGCUCAGAAGCAGGAGCUUGCGAACUUAAAGAUGGAUGCGGAUAUUGACAGAUCGUCUUACUUGGCGGAACGGAAUGUUCUCCACUCAGAGCUGGAGGAUUUAAAGAACCGGAGUGCCGAGCUUACGAAGAGAUCUGACUGCAAGGAACACAUAUACAUCAUUGACGAGCUCAAGGAGGAGCUGGGGUUGGAGAGAGACAAGAAUACCAGCUUGAACAUUCAGCUCCAGAAUCUGCGGAAGUCUAAUAUGGAGCUGCUUUUGGUUGUCCGUGACUUGGAAGACUCGUUGGAAGAGCACACCAGAGACACAGAGCGCUUGCUGAAGUGCAAAGUGUACAACAAUCCUUGCGCAGAGGGCGAUGCAACGCUUGAAGGGGAGGAGAGAUACAGCGAGUACAGCUAUGCAGCCGAGACGAAGAAUAUAGACAAGAUCCUCGACCUCAGCAGGAACAAUGAUCAGCAUAUGGAUGACGAGACUCCAAGGCUUAAGAUGUUUAUUUCGGCAGUUUCGGAGGACUUGAGCAACAUGAAGGUCGUGCUGGACGAACUUAACAGGCACACACAAGUUGGCGACUGCUAUGCGUCCGUGAAGGAACAGCUUCUUUUCGAUUUGAAGGCCCUGGUACAAGGCUCUGAAGAUCUUAUCGCUGAGCUCCAGAAAGAUAGUACCACAGGAGCCAGCGAAAUCACAAACAGAGGCAAGUCGACGACCGAUGGUGAGUCAGAAGAAGUAAAAACUUUGAACGCGAAGAUCAUGGAGCUCGAGAACUUAUCAAAGAUGCACCGAGAACAGGAAGUGUCCAGGCAGCUGAAAAUCGAUCAGUUGGAGUCACAGUUACUAGAGUUCGUACAGGAGCUGGAACACGUGCAGAAGUCCAACGAGCAGCUUGAAUCGCUCCUAGGCGCCGCGAAAACAGAGAAAGAACACUUGGAACAGAUGGUCGAAGAUGCUGAGAGCACUGAAUCCCUUUCGCAAAGAGUGGCAGAGCUCGAGGACCAAGUGCAACGCCUGGAAAUGGAAAGAGAGGACUACCUGCUGGAACGAUGCGUGGGAGAAAAUCUCGCAAGGGAUCUGUGCAAACGGGUGAAAAGCAUCGUGUCCGGCUCACAAAGUGAUUCCGACGAGAAGGAAAAGUUGGACUUCAUGUGCCAUAUGAAGGAGCUGAGACGUUCUUUUUCGCUACUUAUGAUCAACAGGCGAAACUCAGAGGACGAACUUGAAGCUCGCCAGCAUGACGACAAUGGAUCAUCACUCGAAGAGGAUGAGAUGCCAUUGACAAACAACGUGGAGCUUGUGGAUCCUGGUGAAGUUCUCAGGCUUCAAGAAGAGCUGGAGAAGAAGGCUGUGGAGCUGGAGGUCUUGGAUUCAAAGGUUGUGGAACUUACGGUGGAGAAGGGCAAAGUUGACGGCAUGCUAAGGAGCUAUAUGGACCAGGUAGAGGCCAGGGAGAUCAGGAUGGACCAGCUGGAAGCUAAACUAGUGAACUUUUCCCAGGAACUGAACAGCAUGCAGGAAUCCAACGAACAGCUUGAGUCGGUUUUGGAAGCAACAAAAGCUGAGAAACAGCGGCUGGAAGUUUUGGUCCAAGAUGCGCACGAAGAGAGUAGGAGAGAAUUGCAAGACUCGGAGGCUCUUUUACAAAGAGUGACAGAGCUCGAAGCACACUUGAAGCGCUUGGAAGGGGAAAAGGAGGCCUACGCCCUCGAAAGAAGCGUGGCUGAAAACCUCGUUCGUGACUUAUGCGAGAAGCUACAGGCUGUUACAUGCAACGUCGGCAGGGCUGAGUACCAAGAGGAGGGCGACUGCAAGUUCAUCUCUCAUGUCAAGGAGCUGAGGAUAUCGUUCAGUUCGCUUGCUCAAAUGGCACGGCACUCGGAAGGUCGCCUUCAAGAACUUCAGUUCACAUGCGGCUCGCUGGAAGAUAGGCUGGUGAAAGAAUACGAGAAAACAUUGGGUAGCAUCGCGUUCCUGGACGAGCAGUUUGGCCAGCUUUCGAAGGAGUCGGACCAGCGGAUCGAAACUUGCAAUCGAGAGCUUGAAGUGCUACUGAGUAAGCUGCAACAGGAGCAAGAAGAGAAAAGAUCGCAAGGUUUCUUAAGGGUGGCGCUCGAGGAGAAUUCAUGCGAGAUCGCAUAUCUAAGAGACGAGUUACGACGGCUGAAGGAGCAAAACGCGGCCAUGAUUCGGGAGAGAGAAGCUUUUAAGGCGGAAAUUCAAAGUCUCGAAGCUGAGAGUGUUCAAUGGCAAUCAACGUUGGAGGAGUUGCAGGAGCAGUUUGAACACUUGCAAGGUGUUGGACGGACCAAGUCUCAACUGGCAACGACCGAGGAGGCGUUGAAGGCUCUUGUGUCCGAAAACAGAAGCUUGGAGGAGGUGCUGGAGAGAAAAACUACUCAGCAUUGCAAGGACAAAGAAGAAUGGCAGAGAAAGCUCGCAGAAAUGCAGGAAAAGGUUGGACGACUGGAGGCGUCCACAAGAACAGAGGAACAAGAAAUUCUCCUGGAGCUUGAGGUGUUGAAGGCCGACUUGGAAAGUACCACGAAAACGUUGAUCGGGCUCCGAACAGAGAAAACAUCGUUGGACGGGCAGGUGAACAAGCUUCAGAUGGAGGUCGCAGGCCUCACGGGACAAAAUGUUUCUACAGAGCUGACGCUGACGAAUCUGGAAGCCGAACUUGAGCAGUACAAGACGUUGAUUAUCAGCCUGAAAGAGGAGGUUGCAAGUGCUGAAAAGAAACUGCGAGCUGAACGUGAUCACCGAGAAGACACUGCGAAUAAGUGCAUGCGACUUACAGGCGAGAUUGAAGAUUUAAAAUGCAAGUUGCUCGAAUGCAGCAAUUUGGAUUGUAAGCUUCUAAGCUUGCAGGAAAUGAUAGAGGUAUGUUCACCUUCUUUUACUAUAGAUGUAACGAUCUGAUUUUAUUUUUAUGUUUUGAUUUACAGAGCAAGACCUCCUGUUUAGAACUUCACUGGAAGUCGGCACAUCAAGGCUUCCAAGCCAAGGAAUCAGUGAUAUCGGAAACUCUUGGGCACCUGGAGGAAGCUUAUAAGCAGACGACGAUUUCCUUUGAUGCGGUCGUUUCCGAGCUCGCAAAAUGCAAGUGCCUGAAUUCCGAGCUUGAGGAGAGCCUCAAGACGCAGACGGAGGCAAAGAAGCGAACAGAGGAAGAAAGCUGGCAUUUAAGGAGGGAAUAUAAAGCCAUGGAAAGCAGAUUAUCGACGCUGAGUGAGGAAAAAGAAGAAGAGGUUCGUAUCCAGCUAGUCGAAGUAAGGAACCUUCAGAGAACAAUCGCGCAGCUGGAGGUACAACUACGACAACUUAGUUUAUCCAUGCUCACGUGAGUGCAUUGCGUGUAGGAUGACAUUACGAGGAAGCUGUGCGAACAAAGAGAAAACAGUGUUUCAAUAUCGACGCAGACAGAUUGUAGCCAGGGGCAAGAGGUACUAGUUUCUAUUCACUAUUAUUUUCUCCUCGUAAACUAUGUGGAAAAUAGACAGCAGAAAGGAGCACCGAGAACAGUAACGAAGUUCAGGACAUGAAACAUGGUCGUCGCAAGUGGAAACAACAACAUGACGACCAGGACAUAGAGCUCCGUUCAAAGAUUGCAUCGUUGGAGGUAAGCUAAAGUCACUGCACGUUUUACAUAGCUAACAAUGUCUAUUCCAGGCCGAGCUUCAUUCGAAAGCUGUCUGUUUAAGCUCAACGCUGGAGAAGUCACAAGAAAGGGAGGCUACGUUGUGUGAAAAGAUUGUCCAUUUGGAAGCUGCCAAGAGGACCCUUGAAGACGAAGUCGGCAACCGGCGUGAUGAAUCUGGACUUAUGAAGGCACUAGCAGAAGUGGAAGAAUGCAAGCUCGCCAGGGCCAGCCUCGAGAAAACAAUCUCUCAUCUUCAAUCACAAGUGGAGAGCGAUAAACAUCUGCUGGCGGAGAAGGAGUUGGAGUGUGCACUUUUGAAGGAAGAAUACGGAAAACUAAAACUUGCAAUCGCCGAGUUGCAAGAAAAGCAUGCUACACUGGUGAAGAUGGUUGCUUCUCAAGAGGUAAGCCUGUUUUAAAAAAUGAAAUUUCUGUGCUCUAACCAGGAGGUACUGUACGUUAGGUGGAAGCUUCUUCAAAUUCUCCUGGCUUGGAGCUUUUGAGGUUCGAGUUUCAAGAGAAGGAAGCGUUGCUUUGGAAGAAAAUAGAAUAUCUGGAGCUGGCUAAUGAGCAGCUCGCUGGUCAACAAGUGGAUUCUGGACUGGAGCAACUGAAGAGAGAGGUACGUGUCGAGAUGUAAUGGUUUUAUCUGAUUUAUUUAUCUGAUCGUCGCUGCAGCUCACUCGCUUGCAAAAUCACAAUUCAGAGCUAAUCCGCCGGGAGCAUGAGCUAACGUCGAAGCUGAGUGCGUACGAGCUGUUGCAGCUUGAAUUACAGCGUUUGCAAGAGGUCGAGUUCAUUCAUUCUUUUUCUCUUGCUCUCCUUCGCUUGAAAGCAUUUGUCCUGUUUUUUUUUUUUUUUCUUUUUCCAGGACAACGAGCAGCUAGAGCAGAAGUUUCUGAAACUCAAAGAUGCCUCGCUGUGGGGGGACACACUCGAGCGGCUUGUGUACCUGGAGACGGAAUUGGCCGAGGCAUUGGAGGCCAACACCAUGUACAAGCUGCAGCUCCAGAGGUAAGGCAAGUUUUCCCGAUUGGCUGCUCCAAUUGUCUGCUCUGGAUGGAUGCAGCGUCUUUGCCAAGAGCGUCUCGGGUGCUGCUGCUCAAGGUACGAGUGAAGUUGAGGGAAUCAUAGCCAACCUCGUGAGCUUCAAAAAGCAGACACUGUUCCUCGAGGCAGAGCUCAAGGAGAUGCAAGAGAGAUACCUGAGCAUGAGCAUGCGAUACGCGGAGAUACAGUCGGAGAGGGAGGAGCUCGUCAUGACUGUUAAAGCGCUGAGAUCGUCCAAACAGUGACUUGCGUGUCUGCCUAACUCGUAGGAAGAUGUGACGUUACAAGCGAUGUAGGUACUUUCUUUCUUUGCUUGUUUUUGUGCUGAACCUCACUUUGUGUGGUGGUUUUUGUUUCAUCCAGAUACGAGAGGAUCCUCAUCUCUCUGUUUCUUUUGUGGAGGUUAUUAUAAAUAAGAGAGGUGGUGAUGUUGCUUUUCUUGUUCUUGUUCUUGUUGUUGACCAUAACUUUUAAAAGACGUUUAUGUUCUCGGAACCUUCGGUGCCGUUACAGAUUCAGUGCUUAAGUGUGUUUUUUGAUGCGAGCACGGAGCAGAGUGAGAGCAAAGGUCUGCUUUUGUUUCUUUCGUUCUCAAGAUUGUACUAGCUACUGAGGUUUGCUUUUCUUUGUCCGAGCGAUCUCAUGAGGACACAGGGAAUGUAUUUUGGGGCCCAGCGGAAUCUCCCAAACGGGCUAUAUAGCUACUUAAAAAUAUCUUUACUUCCUAUGGACCCCGAGAAAGAGACCACCUCUUGCCAGCCGUCGGGAAAACGUGGCGAACCACACAAGCACAAGGUAGCGUUGCUACAAAAAUCUGGCAUAUAUACUUACUUAUAUACACAAGACUUGCAUUUGCAGUGCCACCUCGCGGGGAAGAAUAUCUAACGUCAGUGGGAGAACGCGUGUCAUCAAACGCUGACGACAUGGGAAGUGGUUUCCCAGAUCUGGAUGAUUGAUGAGAGAGGCGAUUAAGUUAACAGCAAGUGGCCGGCUUCUAAGAUGGAACAUUUGAUCCUCUGGGAGCAGCAGCGCAGUGAAAAACCCAGGAGUUGGAUGAACAGUGAACUGGGAUUUAAGGAGGACAAGUGAGCUAUGAUGAUAUACAAUUCCACGAUCUAAGAGUCAGUCAAAUAUUUGAGGAUUAGAGGAGUUCCGUCAGUGAUGAUCGCCUUGGUGGGACUGUUGCGGAAGAACAGGACGGAAACCAUGUCGGCUAGCCGGUUGGAGAAAGGGACUUGAGAGCGGAAGUGGAGGCCUUUCCGGAAGAGAAAACGUCGACGACGUCGAUGAGGAAGAAGGCCUGGAGGACGACGAUGACAGGUUUAUAGCCGUGGACGCGGCCACGGCGCCGAUGAGAAGCUGGAGGCCGAAGUUGUUUAGAGUCCAGGAAGUUUGCUGGAUGAACUGGUGCUGCUCGCGAUUAUCCGCGAGCUUGUUGGAUCCCUGGACCAACUUUGCCGGGGGUUUUGGAGCGGUGCACUCGAUGGCUUCCACGACUUUGGCGAAGGUAUCGACGCUGGCAACCGCCUCGUCCGAGGCUCCCUUGCCCGUCGCGGUGGCGGCGGUGACGUGCUUGCGGUUGUUGAUUGCUCCCUUGAGGAGCGCUCGCGAGAAGAGCUUGGCGAUGGCGGACAGGCGUCGCGCCUGCUGGACUCUCUUCAUCAUCCGGGGGCUGAGAGACAAAGGCUUGUGAGACCCGGAACUUGUGAAGGCUUGCUGGAUCUUUUGCUGCUCGCCAGCGAUAGUGCCAGCGCCAGCUCCAGUUCCGUGACGCAAUGGAACCGAUCUAGAGUUUCUUUCCGCCCAGGCGGUUGGGAGCCCGGAGCAAAUCAUCUCGACUUUACCUGCGGCGUGGUUCCAGAAAUCCACUGCAGCGCCCUCGUCGCGUUGAUCCCAGUGGAACCUGGCUGAGAAAAGGAAAACAAAGAUGUGAUCUCUUCUUUCUCGAUCCAAUCGAGCUUACCUCCCACUUCCUUGGAGCGAUCCUCGUACGUGCAGUACUUCUCGAGGAAAAGCUCCAGCUGGUCGAUGGCACCGGAGAAAUCGUCCGAAGAAGACGAGGACGAAGACGAAGCCGAUGCGUCGGGCGUGGCGCGAUCGAGGAGGAGGCCGUAAGAGAAUCCGGGCAGGCAAAAGCUAUAGCAUCCCCGGCCGAGCUUGAGAACCGGGCAGUCCUUUCCAACGGGCCACUCCACAUCCUUGACGGUCGCCACCACCGCCGCCAGCGGCGAAUGCAGCUGCUUGGUGAGGACCAGCUUGAAAUCGCCGCGCUGCAUCGCGACGCUCUCCUCCUGAUCCACCAGGAAGAGCUGCGCGUUCUUGAGAGUGAGGAGCUCGAUAUCAUUGCCGCGAUGAUCGCUUCUGUCUGAGGAUUGUCCACCCAUUGCCGCUACUCGACACAAACACUGCUCGAUUGAUUGAUCGAGAGAGGAAAUUUUCCUCAGAAUAGAGAGGAGGAGAUCGCCAAGAAUUCUCUGGCAUUGUAUUCGCGUGCUAUUUAUAUGGAUUUGCGAGGCUGCCAAGAGGAGAGGAAACCGGCUUUCUUUACAAACACAUGGGUCCAUGGAUGUCUCUACACGGUUGGCCAGGAAGGACGCGUGGCAGUGCCCGCUGAGGUGGCACGACGCUUGACCCACACGUGUCACGAGGUCGUGCCAAGGGACUUAUGGAUGUCUUGCUUAUCUAAGUACAUGAGUAAACAAUACGUUGUAGUAAAACAAUCAACCCCUUAAAAAAACAAUAGAGAUGAUAUCUUUCAUUUGAAGAAUUUAUUAUUUGUUGUAGCCUUCGAGUUCUUCUUCACCACCUUUAAUUUGUUAUUGUAGCCCAUGCUACAAAAUCUUGAUGUUUCUCGCAGUAGCCAUCAAGCUCUCGAUCUUUUGCCUUGGUUCUUCCAUGGCUCGCCGGAUCAAACCCUCGAUGCUGUGCCUGGAUAGACGAUCCGUGCUCGUCUUGGACACCCUCCACGCAACCUGGAGCUCUUCCACCAUCCUCGAGUUUAGAGCCUGGUCCGAAAAGGAUGGCAGCGUGAGCAUGAGCACCCCCAUGCAAAGGCCCUCCAAGACCGAGUUCCAUCCACAGUGCGUCAAGAACACCCCGGUGGAUUCGUGUCCCAGGAUGGCCAGCUGAGGAACCCACGAAUCACGAACUACGAGCCCCCGCUCGCCUCUAAAUCCCUCUGGAAGAACUUCUCGAUCCGCCGAUGACGAGUCUGGCGAUCGCAAGACCCACAGGAACCUCUGCUGGCUUGCCUCCAAUGCAAACGCGAGCUCUUCGAUCUGAUCCAGGCGCAGCAGCACUAUGCUUCCCAGUGAGAUGUAGACGACGGAGCGGCGGGGCUGCUUGCUCAGCCACAGCAUGCACUGCUCUUCCCUGGACACGAGCUCUUUCGCUCGCCUGCUCAAAACUUCUUCCCUGGGGAGUAAAGGACCGACCGGAAGGAUGCGUACCGAGUUUGGAUUGAGUAGCCUGUUGUCUCGAACUGCCGCGAGUGCUGCCCCUUCCAGAGCUUCGAAGGUGUUGAUGAGAAUUCCCGCUGCUUCGUGCACUCGCAGGCAGUUCUUGAUGUAGAAGUCCUGAAUAGACUUUGGAGUACUGUCGAAGAGGGCGCUGUGUAUAUCUCUUUGCUCUCGACGAAAGCUUCUUCUCCUUCCACAGUCGAAGCUGGCAGUGGAAGCCGAGACUGAGAGAGGAGGGCUUUGACGUGAAACGCUCCAGCCAAGAUGGAAGCCGGAGAUGGGUAGAAGAUGUACCGGGGAACCCCCAGCCUGUUGGCGACGUCUUGAGUCCAGCUGACUAGCAUGUCGCUCACUAUACACAACCGAGUCGCCGGAGGAGAAGCUCUCUUCAUACUGCCCACCAUCUCCUCAAACUCUGCCUCGGCCUCCAAGCACUGGGGCAGCAUGAAGUGAAGAGAUUCGGCGUUGUCGUGGCCAGUCCUGCUAAAAUUUUGUGGAGGGAGUUGCUGUCCACGCAGAGCCACAACUCGCAGCGAAUUUCCAUCGGCUUUGAUCCCGAAACCUUCCAGAGCCUCGUAGACGCGGGGAAGACGGUCCUCGAAAGUCACGAAACUUACAGUCAUCCCGUUCUUCUCGACCAGCCGCUGAGCAAGCAGCAGUGAUGGACCUACAUGUCCCUGAGCUGGGAAUGGAAACAAUACCGCAUGGACCUCGACCUGCUGCUUCUCUCCCUCAAACGAGUACUCCAUUGUUCUUCCACAAAAACCCCUUCAGCGAGUCGUGAGAGGACUUGACUGUCGAGCUUUUGCCCUUUCGAAAGACGAUGAUUUGUCCUUGCUUAUUCCGUAGUCAGGCUUCUCAUCAGCGAGAAGUAUGUGGCAGCGUCCGGAUUGCAACCCUUCUCCAGCAUCAGUUGCAUCACCUCGAUCGCCUUCUCGACGUUUCCAGACUGACAGAAGCCCGAGAUAAGAAUGUUGUAAGCAAGCUUGUCAGGCUCGCAGCCACUGUCUCGCAUCGUCUUGAAGCACUGAUACGCCGCAUCCAUCUUGUUGAUCUUGCAGAAGCCAUCGAUCAAGCUGGUGUAAGUAGCCACGUCCGGAACGCAUCCUUUCUCGAGCAUCACGUCGAGUACGUUGAUGGCAUCCUCCACUCUUUUCGUCUUGCACAGCCCGUUGAUGAGAAUGCUGUACGUGUAGAGAUUCGGCUCGCAACCUCUCUCGCUCAUAACCUGAAGCAUCUUGAGCGCCUCGUCUCCUCUCUCCACGUCGCAAAGGCCACCGAUGAUAAGUGCGUAGUGCGAGCUCGUCGGAGGACACCCUUGCUUUGUCAUCAGAUCCAUAACCUCCUGCGCUUCCUCCACUUUCCCUGUACUGCACAGCCCCUCGAGCAUACUGCUGUAACUCGCCUUGUCCGGAGAGAUCCCAAGGAUGGCAAACGCGUCCUGCAUCCGGUUGGCCUUGCAGUAACCAUCGAUGAGAGUGCUGUAAGUCACAACAUCCGGGGUGCACGAGACCUCCUUCAUCAGCUCCAGCACCUUGUGACCUUCAUCAACUUUCCCAGCCUUGCAAAACCCGUCGAUCAUAGUGUUGAAAGUCACCAGGUUCGGCUGGCAGCCGCGCUCGAGCAUCAUCUCUAGAAGCAGCCGAGCGUCGUCCACCUUCCCCAGCUUACACAGCCCGUUCACCAGGAUCGAGUACGUCACCACGUCCGGAGCACAGUCUUUCUCAACCAUCACCUCCAAGAGCUCGUGCGCCUCCUCCAACUUCCCGGCCUUGCAGAGCCCAUCGAGGAGGCAAUUGUAAGUCACCAAGUCGGGGGAGAUCCCCGCCUUAAACAUGUCCUCCAUGACCCGGUACGCAUCCGCUAGCCUGUCCGCUCUGCUGAAUCCGCCGAUGAGCGUCGUGUAAGUUAUCACGGUCGGAGCACACCUUCUUCCAACCAUGUCUUCCAGCAGCCUCUCAGCCUCGUCCAUCUUGGAAACCUUGCAAAACCCGUCCAUCAGGCUGUUGUAAGUCACCACAUCCGGCCCACACUUCUUCUCUAUCAUCUUCUCGAGGAUCUUGCCAGCCUCUUCAUACUUCCCGGACUCGCAGAGACAAGCCACCACAGUGUUGUAGCUAAACGUAUCCGGCUCCCGUCCAGCCUCCACCAUCUCUUCCAAGAGCUUGCUCACCUCCUCGAGCUGGUUUUGCUUGCAGAGGCCAUUCAAAAGCGCGUUGUAAGCCACGGUAUCCGGCGUCAAGCCCGACUCCUUCAUCUUCUCCAUGAGCUUCCUUGCUUCGUCCAAGGCAUUCGUCUGGCAGCACCCAACGAUCAAGGACGUGUAAGUGAUCACGUCCGGAACGCACGAUCUCUCCAGCAUCAUCUUCAACACAUUUCUGGCAGCGUCGAUCUUUCCCAUCUUGCAAAGCCCAGCGAUCAAGCAAUUGUAUACCGCAGCGUCGGGGUGGCAGUCCUUCUGGAUCAUCUCGUCCAGGAGCUGGUAAGCUUCAUCGAUCCUCUGGCACUGGCAGAGGCCAUGGAUGAGAAUGCAGUACGUGAAGGCCGUGGGAGAGCACCACAUCUUGCCGCGGAAAUGCGAGAGUGCUCGAUCCAAGUCGCCGAUCUGGCAGUAGGCCUUGAGGAUGGUGUUGUGGGUGAUCACGUCGGGGGAGAAUCUCCGCGCCAGCAUCUCGUUGGCGAUCUCCAGCACCAUCUUGGAGUUGCCAGCUCGAGAGAACCCUGUGAUCAGCGCACCAUAAGUCGAGUUGCUGGGCUUGGAAGGAUCGCUGAAUCUCUCCCGGAAGAAGGAGUAGCCCUCGAGGGGCCUUACCUUCAUCAGGAGGCGAAGCAUCUGGUUGCAAGUGAAGGUCGUGUGCUUGAAAGACCGCUCGCGUUCCACCCAUUUGAAGAAGAGCAUUCCGGCAUCGGGAUUCUUGACGCUCCUCAGCACAUCGGCCACGGAUUCAGCCGCAAAAACCCCUGGAACGUUACCCAGCGCUUCCUCCAGAUCCUCGAUGUCGUAAUCCUCCACAAUCCCGAGCAGCUGAUGCGAUUUCACGACCUCGGGCGACUUGGCGCCACCGACAUUUCCACUCCACGCUCGCAUUCUCCCCGGCGCCGUCGCCUUCGGUCCUGCCAGCGUCUGGAGCAACCGUCUCGACGCUCCAGGGCGGCGCAAGGCGCUUCUCCUCAUGAUCGCCGUGCCGCGCCAUGCAUCCUAGAACCUCUCAAGAACCCUAGAAUCUCAAGAUUUUAGGGCUAUGGCCGGGAUUAUUAUGAAUUUUAAACGCUCAACCUAAUUAUCCGACAAAGGUAUGGGCAAAGUGGAUAUACCACAGGACAAAAGAUGAUACGAUGCCAAAUGUAAUGUGAGACAAACUAGCAUGUACAAGACAAUUCUCAUCCUCCACUCUGGCCUUCUCCCUUUGGAGGUCCUAGCAUAGCAGUAGCAAAUUCACACACCAAUUACUCUAGAACGAUUUAGAAACAAGAGUUACCUGCUUAAAUCUUUGGCAAAGUAAGGCAGAUGCAUCUCCAUGCUGUGCUGAACGCUCGACGUUAAAACCAACACUAUCAUAAAAUGCCAAACCAGGGAGAGAGAGGUUGCAGGCUUUACCGUCUUCACGGCCACACAGCCUGGUGCUCACCCAUGCCAGUUCCAAGGACAAGAAGAGGAUGCACAGUUUUCAAAUGGUAGCCCAGGUUCGCAAGUAGGGUGUCAUGCCACAGAUGUUUAGAUUUGAUGAAAUUGAGGCACAGCAAGUAUUGGAAAGGGAGUUGCAGCUACGUAUGCUAUCGGAGGUUGAGUGUAGUCAUGUGGAUUUCAGCGCUAUGACUUCUUUUUGAGCCUUUCACUGCCGUUUGUCUCAAGGAUGGCACUGACAGCCUCUAGUACUCAUCUCUUUCGCGAAAGAAGAGAUUUUUUUAUGCUGUCCGUGAGAUAUCCAAGCUGCAAAAGAGUACUUAAAACACGAAAGAAGGUGGUGGCUUGCUUACCAAAAUGCCAAGAACUAUAAAGGCUUCUGUCAAAGGUGUUACAUUAGAUGGUGAUGUCUCAGGUAUGUAAAUUGAUACUCCAGGUUGCAAAGAAGAAAGAUGACAACCUUCUCAGAACAUUUUGAGAGACCUUGUGUGUUUUGCUCACCUCAUGGCGUUUCAUCUCAAGAUGCAAGAAAGAAAACACGCUAUGGUGCAUCACCUCAGCGUUAUGCUUUACUUUCAGCAUAGCAUUCUAGUUUGAGAUCUUAUAUUCAAUGCUCGUGUAGCUACUCCUCCGCCUUGGCAAGCUUGGAGUUCUACAAAACAAGAUGCCGUUGUCGAGAAUAGGAAUUGGAAGUCAAUUUCCAGGUCACUCUUGACGCAGGCUUAUUCUUGAAGCGAUCAAGGGACAAAGAGCCCACAUUCCUGGCAUAGAUCGCUUGAAAUGUCACCUGCUGUGCGCUUGAGAAAGUUCCUUGGGGUUGGUGAUAUGUGCAUGCCGUAUCCCUCCUCGUGAGGAAGCGUCGUGCUGCGCUGGUGGGCGGGCAGCAGGAGGAGCAUAGCGGCGGUGGUGGGAGAAACACAUUUCUUCUAGGGUUUAUAGGGAAUGAGGAUCCAGGCGGGAUGACCAAAUCUUGCGGCUAUGGUAUUCGGAAGUGUGCAACACUGGUAUUGUGUUUUCCUUGCACGAUCCAACUAGAUUUUGAUCGUUGAAAGCGAUGCUACGCUCUCGAUCUGACAAUCAAAACAACUCUAGGAAGAUCCCUGCAAAAACCAGGGGAAGUGCAUGAGGUACAGCAGUCGCACUUUAGGACGUGACCGAUCGUCGCCAGAAAGCAGUAAGUUGAAUCUCCUACGGCAUCGCACACAAACCUCUGCCAGGACGCGGAGAAGUUGUGCAAAGUACUCGAUCACAUCCGCCCCGGAAGAUGGGUAUCGAAAAUUGAACUCAGGACCUGUCGCACCCUAAGCGAGAAUCAGAUCACUAGGAUCAAAAUAAUAAACGAUUUACUAUGCAAAUCUUUUGCUACUUUACAAGAAAUAGUUUACGAAAAGCACCAAAAGUUGCGGUUAUACACGGCAUAUUUAAAUUGGAUAAGGUGCUUGCUCAACACAGUCACAUUCAAACCAGUCUACACGGAACAUUUCAGUCUUUGGGCGAGGUCACGGGGAUUGUUGUUAACGAUGGGGUCGCAAGCAAACCCGUGCUGCACGAUAGACCAGUUUUCUCUUCUUUGAUUUCCAUGUCCACACGUUACGAAGUCAUUUAAAAGGAACCUCAUCGAUCUGCAAAUCAAAGAGUUUCUCACUUGAUUAAUUUUUUCUUCUUUUUCCACUUCGAAGAAUGUCAGAAACAGAAGCAUUGCUGCUGAUGGUAUGCUUCUUACUUGCUUAUGCAGCAGCAGAUCUCAAUGAGGAGAUGAGAGAUUUUCUCCGAGACGUGAAUCCUCCGUUUGUCACAAAUCAUACGGUUUGUUUCCUCAUUUUCAGACCCAUGUGAACACAUAGAUUCCAACUUGCAGUUAUCAAAUGGAGACAUCAUCCUCUGCGUCCCAAUUAAAAAUCAACUGUCUCUAAGAAACCAGACACUGCAGCUUCUGGUAAGCUGUCCAACAUGGAUGAAAACUAAUGAUUUCUCGUCUAGCCUCCUCAAAUGAUGAGCAAACAAGAGCACAAUCGAUCAGAAAAUUCCGGUCAGCUGUUUGGUUUAGAAGUUGGAUCGUGCAAGGAAAACACAAUACCGGUGUUGCACACUUCGAAUACCAUAGCCGCAAGAUUUGAUUCUGUGAGGAAGCUAACCAAAAAACAUUCCUCUGGAAAAAAUCGAGUGCCAUUGGCUGAUGAAGAACCUGGCGUAGAAACUCACGAGGUAAUACAGUAAUCUAGCAGGAUCUGAUCAAAACUCUCAAGAGUUGAUGAUACUUUGCAUGACCAUGACAGCAUGGCUACAACCAGUUGAACGGCAACUUCCGAGGGAUGGAAACAACUAUAAAUGUUUGGGAGCCAUACGUGGAAAAAACUUCCGAGUUCAGUCUGGCACAGUUAUGGAUCAUCUCAAAAAAAUUAGGCCCAUUGAACACAAUUGAAGCUGGAUGGCAGGUAUGUACGCACUUCUAGAAAUCAGUCAUAUUCUUAUUUACUGAACCUUUCUUGAAGAUUUAUCCUAAAUUCUAUGGAGGAACAGGACCUCGACUCUUUGUCUACUGGACGGUAAACCAGACUGGUAAUAAAACAUUGUAUAAGCAUUGUCAAUGGCAGGCUGAUGGCUACGAUAAAACUGGCUGUUAUAACCUGCAAUGCCAAGGCUUUGUACAAACAAGCAACAAGUACGUACUAGGAGGAUCAUUUUCGAGCGUAUCCACUCCAGACUCUACACAAUAUGAGAAAACCUUAUGUGUUUUCCAGGUCCAUAGUCCAGACUACGUAAAAAACAUGCAUAAAAGCUAUUAAAUGGUUUUGAAUUUUUCAGGACGAUAGCUCAAAGAAUUGGUGGCUACAAAUUGACGGGGAAAGUAUUGGAUACUGGCCUGCAAGCCUUUUUCAAUCUCUACAGAAUGGUGCUGAGACAUUGGAAGCUGGCGGUGAAGUCUGCUAUGAUAAAGAAAGUGGAGUAAGACACACAAAGACUGGUAUGGGAAGUGGAGAAUUUCCAUCCCAGGGAUAUCUUAAAGCUGCAUACCAGAGAAGAAUACAGUACCUGGAUUCCAAUGGAGUAAUGCAGCCAGCAAUUGGGAUGAAAAGUGGAGCUGAAGUACCUAAAUGCUACACUGCUACUAGUGUUGCUGCUGACAAGGGAGAUAACUGGGGUGCAUAUUUCUUCUUUGGAGGCCCUGGAUAUAGCAACCAGUGCCCAUAAACCUUGCAAAAGGCAAAAAAGUGUAUAAGCUGAAAUAAAAAAAAUUAUGAGAUCUACAUAAGUUGAAGAGUUGAGUUUAAGUUUUAAUUGUAGUUUAAGACAAACAUUAUAAACUUUAAAAUAUUAAAGUUAUAGUGAACUUAAUAAUUUCACAAACUCUCUACACAUUAUAUAUAUCAAAAUGUUAUCAAUAACACUUCUCUCUACACAUUAUAUAUAUCAAAUGUUAUCAGUGACACUUCUUGUUCUAAGGAACUCCAGAUGCAAAAGCUUUAUUAGCUGUUCCAAUAGUUUUAUAUAAUGCAGAUUUUUGGUGGUGGAAUUGGCUUGAGGAAUUUUAUAUUGCAGAUAAGAAACCACUAGUGUUUACCAUGGAUGAGUUUGAGGUUGCUUUUUGCUUACAUUUUUCCCCUCACUAUGACAUGGAGAAUGCUCACACAAAACUUCAAUAUUUUUAACAAGGGAAAAUUAUGCUUAAGGACUAUAUUAAGAAGUUUAUUUGCUUGAUUAGCCAUAUUCUAAUGAAGGAUCUAGAUCAGAACAAAUCUUACUUUAUGAGAUUUUAGUUUAAAUCUACCUUUUGCAUUGUUUAAAUCUUCCUUUUCUUAUAGUUUUUUUUAACUUCUUAUCUUUCACUCUUUCCUUUUCAUUCACCUUUAUGGUAGAGUAGUAACUUCCUCCUCUUUUGACUCUAGAACAACAAUUAAUGCAAUUAUUUGAUGUUUUGUAGUUGUAGUUGAACAAUGAAACUCAAUUGAUAGCAACAUUCACAGUGUAGAAUACAGUGUAAGCAACUAAUUUUUCCAUUCUACUUUAGUCAUUUAACCACACCUUUAACCACUUGGAGGAGUCUCAUUCACAACCUCCUUAAAUCCAAUUUAGGACUUGGGACUUGCUAGCCCCGAGAAUGGCAUCCAUACCACUCAUCCCUUGCACUUAGUCCAAGUGCUCCACGUGUCCAGUCCCAAGACCAACACCCAAAAGUACCAUUAACAUAUCGGCCCGUUAUGCUAAGGCCAUGCCCAUUCACCUUUGCCGCACUAGUGGUCCAAUACCACUUGCAUCACAAUCCUGUCUCUCCAAGACUGGGCCAUCCGUCCAUGAGUGGUCAUCCCAGAUCCACUCCUUAGCAUCCUUAGGAUGCCCACAGACAUAGGGAAUAGCCUUCCCCAAUAUCCCUUUGUCAGUUCCUACCAAGUCCCUUUUCUGUCCAUGGCCAUGUUCGCCAACACUGCCACUAUAUCAAGGCCCACAGGCCCGACCACUAAGUCCCAUGGUCCUCUGGGACUUCCUCACCAUGUGACUGUAUCUUUAGUCACUACACUAGAGGACUGUUCCUCCUCCUUUCCCCCAUUUGGGACUCCGGGACAACAUUUCGGAACACUGUGGGCCUAUGCGAGCCCCGUGGGUACUCUCCCCACCUUCUGCCUUUAGGUACUCUAGCCAUGGGCUUAGAGCGAGGUUCCGUUGAGCCAUGCCUGGUAUCCAAGUAGGUAGUGCCACCCACAUUUGGACAGGGGGCAUCGGCCAGUCGAUCUCCCAGGGGAAUUAGAGCCGGCUCUUGAACACUUCACCAAGCUACCCCGUUUGUCAGUCCGUAUUCACUCUAGUCUUGGACUUCCCAGUGGUUAAUUCAUCACCCAACACUGGGUCUAGCCUUCCUGGGCCAAACUGCCAAACUAGCUCCACUGUAGUCCUCCCCCUCACUAUACUUUUGGAGCUCACCAAACCCCCCAGGGUCUGGGAGAUGAACGCUUUGGGCUUUCACCCUCUCAGACUCGGACUCGGACUCGGACUCGAACUUGGACUCGAACUCGGACUCGGACUCGAACUUGGACUCGACCUCGGACUCGGCUUCGGUCUCGGCCUCUGCCUCGGUCUCAGCCUCUGCCUCGGUCUCGGCCUCUGCCUCGGUCUCGGCUUCUGCCUCGGUCUCGGCCUCGGCCUCGGCCUCCGCCUCGGUCUCGGCCUCGGUCUUGGUCCUGGUCCCAGUCUCGGUCCCAGUCUCGGUCUCAGUCUCGGUCCCGGUCUCGGUCCCAGUCUCGGUCUCGACCUCGGACUCCAUCUCGGGUCCUUCUCAGACUCCAUCUCGGACUCCGUCUCGGUCCAUCUCGGACUCCAUCUUGGGUCCAUCUCGGACUCCAUCUCGGACUCCAUCUCGGACUCCAUCUCGGACUCCAUCUCGGGUCCAUCUCGGACUCCAUCUCGGGUCCAUCUCGGGUCCAUCUCGGACUCCAUCUCGGACUCCAUCUCGGGUCCAUCUUGGACUCCAUCUCGGACUCCAUCUCGGGUCCUUCUCGGACUUCAUCUCGGACUCCAUCUCGGACACUUCCACGUGUCAUAUGUUAGUCUCUUUUGGGUCCCUUUUUAGAGCCUCGCUUAUUGCUCGCGUCGUGCUCAUUCCUCGAGCACUUUGUUGGGAGUUCCACUCCCGCUCUCGACCUAUCAAGUCGGAGCUUUUAGUCCAAACUUGUUACGCUCGUUUGGCUUUCGCUUCGGCCACUACCACAUGGCACCCUUCCGGCUCCACUUUGGGGCCUAGGAAUUUUGUGUCUCACAUAUAGCUCCUCCUGCUCUUGCUGCUAAUACUUGCAUGUCCUUUAACUCCACUUCUUAUGGAAGAUGGUCAUAUUCCAAUGGAGGUUGAUGCCACUAUUGCCCAAACUCAAGGACAAGAGCAAGGACGUGGUUAUAGCUAUAAUAUUUAUUAUUGAAGCUCUAUUUCGUUAAAGUGGGAAUUGUCAUUAUCCCACUUGUAAAAUAAGGUUUCCAAACCU
rnacentral:lncRNA from 1 species